rnacentral:rRNA from 1 species
GACGAACGCUGGCGGCGUGCUUAACACAUGCAAGUCGAACGGGAUUUAGUAAACAGAAGCCUCGGUGGAAGAUUACUAAUGAGAGUGGCGAACGGGUGAGUAACGCGUGAGCAACCUGCCUAUGACAGUGGGAUAGCCUCGGGAAACCGGGAUUAAUACCGCAUAAAAUCGUAGAAACACAUGUUUUAACGGUCAAAGAUUUAUCGGUCAUAGAUGGGCUCGCGUCUGAUUAGCUAGUUGGUGAGAUAACAGCCCACCAAGGCGACGAUCAGUAGCCGGUCUGAGAGGAUGAACGGCCACAUUGGAACUGAGACACGGUCCAAACUCCUACGGGAGGCAGCAGUGGGGAAUAUUGCACAAUGGGGGAAACCCUGAUGCAGCGACGCCGCGUGAACGAAGAAGGUAUUCGUAUCGUAAAGUUCUGUCCUAUGGGAAGAUAAUGACAGUACCAUAGAAGAAAGCUCCGGCUAAAAACGUG